rnacentral:rRNA from 1 species
ACUACGGGUGGCAGCAGUGGGGAAUAUUGCACAAUGGGCGCAAGCCUGAUGCAGCCAUGCCGCGUGUGUGAAGAAGGCCUUCGGGUUGUAAAGCACUUUCAGCGGGGAGGAAGGCGGUGAGGUUAAUAACCUCAUCGAUUGACGUUACCCGCAGAAGAAGCACCGGCUAACUCCGUGCCAGCAGCCGCGGUAAUACGGAGGGUGCAAGCGUUAAUCGGAAUUACUGGGCGUAAAGCGCACGCAGGCGGUCUGUCAAGUCGGAUGUGAAAUCCCCGGGCUCAACCUGGGAACUGCAUUCGAAACUGGCAGGCUAGAGUCUUGUAGAGGGGGGUAGAAUUCCAGGUGGAGCGGUGAAAUGCGUAGAGAUCUGGAGGAAUACCGGUGGCGAAGGCGGCCCCCUGGACAAAGACUGACGCUCAGGUGCGAAAGCGUGGGGAGCAAACAGGAUUAGAUACCCUAGUAGUC